CCUAGAUGGAACCAACUCUGUGGUACAAUUGAAGCUCCCUGUGAGAUCUGGCUGAGGCUUCUGCUGAGACCACAUUCGUGCUCAGCUUGCUUCCUCUGCCCCUAUCUGCUGGCUGCCCCAUUCCCUUUUUCCCUGAGAGUAAUAAUCCCUCAAAGAAUUUCUGAGACAAGAAUCCCCGUCUCAGGCUCUGCUUUUAGGGAAUCUGACUUAAGACGGAAAACUUGCUGAAUAAAUUAAUGAAGACCCAGGAUUUUUCUCUGGAGAAUGAAAACUGACAGUACAUUUGCUUCAGCUUUGGUCACCUGUACCUACAUUAAGGAGAUGCAGAGUGUUCAUAUGAGGAGAGACUUUCCCUUGUCUCUGUCAUCUGUGAUUUCACUUCCCUGACAGAAGACGAAGCUUCCAUCUCAGAUGUUUUCUUAAAUGAUGAAACAGCAUACGCCUCUGUUCUUGUCAGCUCAGGGAAAACAGAUCUGGGGACCUCUUCAUCUCUGCGUUGGGAAGCAUAGGUGGUAUAAUCCCCUCCUGUCACGUCCAACGUUGCAUAGUCAGAAGCUUCGCCCUUGUAGUUGGUGCACACAGCACGGU
rnacentral:antisense_RNA from 1 species